rnacentral:rRNA from 1 species
UGCCAGCCGCCGCGGUAAUACGGAGGGUGCAAGCGUUAAUCGGAAUUACUGGGCGUAAAGCGCGCGUAGGCGGCUCUCUCAGUCGGAGGUGAAAUCCCGGAGCUCAACUCCGGAACUGCCCCCGAUACUGGAGAGCUUGAGUGCAGGAGGGGUGAAUGGAACUCCAGGUGUAGCGGUGAAAUGCGUAGAUAUCUGGAGGAACACCGGAGGCGAAGGCGAUUCACUGGACUGCAACUGACGCUGAGGCGCGAAAGCUAGGGGAGCGAACAGGAUUAGAUA